GACGAAGGGGGCUAGCGUUGUUCGGAAUUACUGGGCGUAAAGCGAGUGUAGGCGGUUGCCCAAGUCAGGUGUGAAAGCCUUGAGCUCAACUCAAGAAAUGCACUUGGUACUGGGUGGCUAGAGGACCGGAGAGGAUAGUGGAAUUCCCAGUGUAGUGGUGAAAUACGUAGAGAUUGGGAAGAACACCAGUGGCGAAGGCGGCGACCUGGGCCAAUAUUGACGCUGAGGUGCGAAAGCGUGGGGAGCAAACAGG
rnacentral:rRNA from 1 species